rnacentral:lncRNA from 1 species
CGACUCGGUUCAUGUUUUGAUAUGGACGACAAAUCGAGAUAAUUACAUUGAUAGAAAAAAGGUAGUGCUAGUAUCAACCAACUGAUCUUGUGCAAUAGUGGCAUGCCUGAAAUGUCCGAUCCGUGGCUUGCAGUGUUGGGUGUGGUCCUUCGAGGCGCAAACAAUUGCCUUCAAAUUCGCAUGGUUAUUUAGUAAACAUCAGAACGAGGACUGAAAAGCAAGGAAUUUACGACCAAAAGGGCUAAAUAGAAAUGCGCAGCAAAGCCAAAAAACAAACCAAUCGGGAAAACCAGGUACCAAAAUUUAAUAUUCAAGAACUGGCAGGGGCCGCGCGAACGCGUACCCCCUCUAACACAAAUUACGACGUUCACUCUCCCACUUGGGGAGAUGAUAGGCCAGCGCGCCCACCAAGUGCAAUGUGGGCCACUAACCUAGGCCACGGGCCUUCUUGAUCGCCCGUCGACCCCGUCCAGGUAAGUAUGGAACACGGUCGCACCCGCCUCUCCUUUUAUAGCGAGAUCUCCCGCUCCACGCCCCUCGGCCGGGCAAGGUGGGACUAAAAACCGGAGCCGCGUCCGCGCGCGCUGCGGGACGGGAGCACGCAACUGGGCCCGUGUUUGUUCGAUUUCCAUCUGGGCGCAGCAACGUACGUGGGCCUUGAGAACCGUGGCACCUUCGCAGUCGCGGGCCUUGAUAUCGCAAAGACUUCGAGAUGUUUUUCAUCCAAGCAGGAAAAAAAAAAAAGGGGACAACGAGAGCUGGAGUGGGUACGAUACGAUGGAUCCACGGGCUCACCACAGAGGCGUUGACUUGAGGCAGCCGGCCCGGAAGCAACAGCGGCAUGCAGAUCACGGCAACGGAGACACCAACGGCGACGAUGCCGCCAGGCCGGUGGUAACGGCGACGCGCGUGCCGACGCACGGCCACACGAGUUUAACGACGGUAAAAGUACCAGGCGUUGACGCUUCACCAUCAAUCAACCAAUCGAUCUGUUAGAAAUUAAUUAUAGUAGAUUAAUUACCCAAGGGAUGUGUCCAACCCUCCGAACGGUUGUGUCUUCUCUCUCUAUAUUGCCAACAGACACCUGUUCUGGAGGGAUGCCUCCGAACAGGCACCUCUUCUUCGUACCUCUUCCAGAUGUAUAUAUACUUGAGAAUCAAUAGAAACAGGACGAAUUGUCCAUUCAUUUUCAUUCAAUCUCGUUUCAUUCUAACACGUUAUCAGCACUUGCUGCUCUCCAAUCGAGCAAUCGAUACGCGACGUCUGAAGGAGACAACCGAGGACCUCGCCCCCAUGCGUGCUACUUCAUGAGCGGAAUCAGAUGGCAGCGGUUAAUGGCAGACAAGCGAUCGCCCCUACCGAUGCGGCAACGAUGUGGCCUUGUUGUUUGACCGGAUCGUGAAUCGGCAGCGCCCGCGGCUCCAGUCCUCUGGCUCGAGCGAGACCGAUUUAAUCACCAGGUAAAAGGAAACCGAAAUAAAAGAAACAUCAGCCGCCAUGACGCUGUUCAUGGAAUUGGGAAUGCUCACAACCUUCCACCAGCGAGACAUGAAAAGACGAACAGAAAGAACAAGAAUGGGAAUUAGCAUCCACGAUAACUGAUUGAAAAUCCAAAUCAAGAACCGUAGGUACGCAUAUGGUAUUUCUUAAAUUCGUCAUACCUCUAAAUUACAUCGACGCGGAACUGCGCGCUCGACACGGACGCGCCUACACGCGCGAUGGAGACGGCUCCUUCGGCGCACAGCCUCGGUCCUCUACCUUCUCCUCUCGAUGCGGCUUCCCACGGAAUAUCCGCAACUGCAGCCACAAUACAAAGGCGCGGCCGUUGCAGCGCUCCUCCCUCCGGCGGAGCAUGACCCCGUCACCAUGGCACACAACCCCUCCGUGUCGGGCUCCACCCGUCGACAAUGGAGACGGCCAAUGAACAACACCCACCAGCCCAAGGCAACGCCCUCCGGCACGGUGGCUGUUGCUUGUGUGUAGAAACUAGAAAGUAGCAGAAGAGGAGCCGACGAACGAAUCAAUGGAUUCAUAUCCACAAACAGAAAAUGAUAGUGAGCCUUAUCCCUUUGUUAUUUGUCACUUUAACCCUUCCACUUCUUGUCAUCUAUAGAAAAGUCUCUAGAAUUUUGUAUUCAGCCCUCCUACUUUUUGUAUAUUAAUACCUAAAGUACAUGAGAACACAUAUGUUUGGUUGUACUUGAGAGCACCUCCAUGUUCCCAGUAAAGCGUACGUACAUAAUUAUUCUAGACAUUUUUUCUGACAUUUGUUACAUGUCUAAUCUGUUUGCUUUUCAAGCAAUCCAUAUAACAUGUUUAAUUUAGUGUAACAACCAUCGCUUUGCAAGUGCAAAUAAUUUUCUUGCGAAUCUCAACAUAAAUUGAAGUGUCGUAUUUAUUGCGACUACCUCAAAUAUUUGUGAAUCACAAGGUAUUUGAUGGUACCUACUGCAUAUUUUGCAGAUUAUCCAUCAGCACUGUAAGAUCUACAUUUUGUCAUUUUGACAAGAUGAUUAUCUUCAAUGUUCUCUUCCAAAUAUUAAUGCGUAUAUAGCCUAAUUUUUUUUAUUUAUGAAUCACAAGGUAUUGAUGACAUCUACUGCAUAAUUCACAAAUUAUUCAUCACUACCAUGAGGCCUACAUCAUGUCAUCCUGACAUAUGACUACCUUCAAAGUGAUUUUUUUUAAAUAUAGCAUAACACAAGGUAAUAUAAUUGUGAACAUCUACUGACAAAAGUUAGAUUAUGUUUACUAUUACCGUGAGAUCUACACCAUAUUGGUGAUUAUCUUCAAAAUGUUAUCCUAUAUAAAUUGAGGUCUUCUGAAGCAAUUGUUAUAUGGCAUCAGCCGUACUAAAAUUUGCUCCUCUGAAGCAAUUGUUGUUGUUCACUAAAAUGAUUUACUAUCAUAGUAAAUUCAUGCAUGAUUAUUGCAUGUUGAAUGGUAUUAUCUACCAAUACCAAUUAUUCAAGCCUCUUUUUGCUUGAAUAUGUCAUAGGGAACUACAUAAAUAUUUGCAUUUACUUGUGAUUACCUUCUAUUACAUUGGUAAAAUACAUGGCAAUGAAGCCUACGACAAUAUUUCUAAUUAUAGUGUCGUCCAUCCAUCAUGAUGGACCACAUAAUUUAUGACAAUGAUUAAGUGUGUCAACACUUUCGCAAGGUCCACAUGACAUCGUGGUUAUAAUUUCAUAGUGACUAACCAAUGUUAAGCAUGCAAGUCUAUACGUUUUGGCAAUGACUCUAAAGUCACACACUUCCUCAAGAAUGAAGUCCAAAACAUUAGCAAUAAUUUAAUCACAUGUGUUAUAUUGAAGGAUACACCCAAGUUCACCAAGGAUCACCUUGACCAUGAUUGUUCUCAAACAAAUCAUUUAUUUAUAGAUGCCACUUACUCCUAGAAGUAAAUUAAAUAAAUGCAUUAGCAUUUUCAAGUAACGCAUGGCUCACAUUUCCAAAUACAGUAAGUACAUGUUAGGUGAGAUUAUUUAUUGUAAGAUGAUUUACGACAUCAGUCAUUGUAUCCACCCGAGGUAUUAUUGCUACUAUAACCUCACCUUCGGAAUAUGUGUCAUGGCUAUUCUCUUAAUAGCUAAGUAUGAUCAUAUGUAUUUCAUCUCUCACCAACUUCACUUAGUUCUCAAACUAAGUACAUAAUGGAUGAAUAUUUAUUCACCUUGAAUAUUUUCCUUAUGAGAAACAUGCUGCCCCGAGCACAUUUUGGAAUGAUCACCCAAUAAUUUUUCAAGACCUCAAGUCUAUCGCAACUUACAAUUUUGGUAAUUAUAAAAUAAACUUGAAGUUGAGAUCUCAUGAUCUGACAUUUUCAUAUGCAGAUCAGGUUGAAAAGCCCUUGAUACACUUUACAUCUCCUUAUGAUAGUAUUACCAUUUUCAUGGUAAAGAAACAUGUUAUUUCUUAAACUCAUCAUAUUCACCCAACGGGUGCUAUACCAUUAUUUCAAAUAUUUGCAAGUAUUGAUUAGCAAGUCACAUUUCACAAAAGAGAACCAUGAGGAAUUUAAAGUAAAGUGAAGGCUAAAGACAAUCGAUGUCAGAAUUACCUUUUAAUUGAGAAUUGAUCAUUUUCAAAUGAUCACAAAGACAACUCUCAAGUUUGUCAAAUGUGUGGUUACAUAAAUAUCGUACAUAUGAUUACCAAACCCUCAAACAUAUGGUCAAACCACACCAUGAAUUUAUUAAAAGGCAAAUAAGUUUAUGGGGAUAUUUGAAAAUUUGCAAACAUACGACCAAAAUCUAUUCUGGUAAAUGAUGUUCUCGAAUCUUCAUGAGAAGGAGAACCAAAAAUAUAGUGCAAUAAAAGAAUGAUCAAUUCGUUUGCACCUAUGAUAUGUUUGCAUAAUUCAAUUUUUUUUCCAGUAAUAUGGGAGAUCUCAUGUAAUAUCCCGAUUAUUCCCAAAAUAUUGUUUGCCUAUAGUCGUACUACUACAUGUAGUAUAAAUGUCCAAUAUCCUAUUUCUUGGACAUUAUAUUUGAUAAUUUUUGCAUGUAUGAAUCAAUUCAUACUCAGUUUUGUUGCGUACACAAUAAUUUUCUAAAUCUUACAAAAUAUUUGGUUUUAAGCCUUACAAUCCAGGUUUGGGGUUGUUUAGAAAAUUAUUGACAAUUCUAUUGGUCACAACUUAACAAGUUGCAAAAUUUCCCAAAUCAUCAGAUUUUAUGUGCACCACAUGUGCCAUAAGGGAAAUUAAUUUAAGGAACUCUCACCUUAUAAUUCUAAAUGAGCCAACUCUUUCUUCCUUGAACACAUUCAAAAGAUAUGUGCAUUCUCAAUCAUUGUGUGGUAUUUUGUAGAUACUUUAUGGUACUCAUGGAAACAUUUAUAAAAUGAUUUCUAGUGUGUCUCUUGUCACACAAACCAUGAAUGAUAUAACUAAAUCAAUUGCUCAAAUUCUCAAAGUAAGAGCAAGUUAUCCUAAACAAGGGAUAAAUCCAUUCGAAUGGACAACUUUGUUGAACUCAUUUCACAAGAAAUAUAUGAUUAUAUAUAAUACUUUAUGUACAUACCCAAAAUGGUUUAGUUCAAUAUCUUAUCAAAGAUAGUGAAAUUAAUAAUAUGACCAAACUUAUAGAAUCAUGAUUUACUAGCCUCAUGCUAGAUAAAUACGUCAUUACACACCGUAAGUAUGAUAUAAAUCAUACUAACUGCAUAACAUACUACUUUCCCCUUUUAGUAAUUACGUGGAAAUCAACAAAGUAUUUCCUAUCUGCGAUAAUUCGGUUACAUACCGAUAUCACCACUCCAGCAUACAUCAAUGGGCUCUCACAAAAAAAGGGAUCUAUGUGAGGAAUAAAAAAUUUAUCCGUUAAUCAAAAUUAUUCAUAGCCCGUAUGCUGAUUGCAUCAGCAAUAAGGACAUUUCUGGCAUUAGGGGGAGAUAAGUACCACAAAUAAUGCCAAGAAAUAAAUUAGAAAUGUUAUUCACAUUCAGUCCUUAUAUCCACGUACUCAAAGAAUCUGAACAAGAAGUUUAGAAUCACAUAUUUGCAAUACAUUGCAAAUCUACCACAUACAUUUACUGAUGACAAAGGUGUUACUCAAUUAUAUUCCUGCAGUAAAGUGUCAAAAAGAGUGGAGGUACCUGAUAAACCACUCUUCUCCCGAAAUGAGAGCAAGAGGGGGAGAAAUCUGACCACACGAGAUAUAAUCUCGCAUAUGCUUCCGCGGAAAUAGAGGAAAUCAAAUCCUCAACCAGUAAAUGUAAUUCAACAUCAAGUUGAAAGACACCUCACUGGAUGCUCAUCAUCCAAAGCCCGACAUAAAUGUGCACAAAUGUUUUCGUGUCGGGACAUCGAAACACCUUGACUCCAUUGUUGUAGGAAAUCACAAGGAGUUAAAAGGAAUAAAUACAUUUCCACAAAUUUCAUUGAUUCCUCCAGAAUCAUAUAACAUAAGUCUACAUUUGUCGACAUAUAUUUCUUCCGAAAAUUGCUAAAACCUUUUGGGCCCUGAACCAAAAUCCAUGGUAGAGUGCCUCUUGUACUCAUAUUGGUUCACAUAAAAGGAAACAAGUAAUGAAGAAUAGCACUCGCUCUACAAACGAGUGGUAUUUACCACAGUAAUACCUACUCCUCAUAAGUAUCUUCCAUAUGAAAUACUAAAAACUUCUCAUUCAUAGACAAAGUCAAUGAGGUGGUGAGAAAGCGAGGCUUGUAGCAAAAGGGUUCACGCAGAGACCCGACAUCAAAUUAUGAUGUAACAUACCUUCUUGGUAUGAGUGGAACUAUGUUUCGAUAAUAAAUACCAUUGGCAGUACAAAUAAUAUUAUCCAUGCAGUUGAUGGAUGAAGUGGCUACAUACUCAUAUGAGUCACUCAUUUCGGAAAUAUAUAUUAAAGUCCCUGAAGGGCUUACAAUUCCGAAUCUAAAAUAAAUCGCAACAUAUUUGUGUAAAAUGUCAGAAGUCACUCUAUGGCUUGAAAUAGUCGGAAAUCAUAUGGUACUACCGACUAAAUGAGUUCCUUCUUCAAAGGAUUACUCAAAGGAUGAUAAAUUGUUUAUGUGUUAAUAAAGGUAUCCCAAAUUUGAAUUCCUUAUAUCACCUCAGUGUAUAUCGAUGAUUUCAUCAUCAAUGUCUCUACAAGACCUAAACAUACACAAAAUCAUCUCAAGACGGAAAAUUUGGAUUUAACCAAAUUUAGCUUAAGUUUACAACUUGAGCAUUCUCUCAAGAAUACAUAUCAGUCUACAUAUAUCCAAACAUAUACGAGAAGUUCAAUUUGGAUAUAUCAUAUCAACAAAGGACAUGUAUGGUCAGACUACCUUUGAUAAGGUACAAAUCCAUUCAUACCUAGGGGUGAUAAUGAAGUGAUACUAGGACCUGAAGUUCUGUAUAUCACUAAUGUCAAAGCACUCAUAUACUUGCAAACUACGUCAGGUCUGACACUAUAUUUGCUAUCUUUAUUCAGAGUGCAACCCCCAACAAAAGGUAUAUGGUUGAUAUAAGUAAUAUCAUCUUAUAUCUGAAGAUUACAGUAAAUCUUGGAUAUUUCCAUCAGAAAAUAGAAGAUAUGACCAUGAUAUGAUGUAAUGAUAUUGGCUCUUUAUUUGAUCCCAACGAUGCCAUAUCAAUGACUGAAUUUGCUGGAAUAGCCUUCACAUGGAAGUCAUAUAAAUGGAUUUUAGUGGUUAUUUCCAGUUAUCAUUCUAACAUAAUUGAUUUAUCUAAAGGCAUUGCAAAAUAUGCAUAACUUAGUAGAAUGGUUAAUCACACUCAAAAUCAUGUGGUUGAGAUUCAUCAGAAUCACAUAACUUGAUUUAUCAAGAUACUUCCACUUGCGUUACUCAAUACCUAUAGGUUAUAUGAAGAGCAAUAUCAUAAAUCACAUUGCUUGGAAAUUACUUAGCCUCACGGAUUAUAGAAAAGUGAGGAAAUAAUUUGCAAAUAAACUACUGUUAUAAUCCAGCAGAUUAUACACAAUCUCAUGUUCAUGUCAAUGGAAUUGGUAUGAGACAUCCUUCAUAUUUGCAAAGUUCAGGGGGAGUAAUCUCCCAAACUAUAACCUAUUAACAAUCAUCAGAUUGCAUAUAUUGUACUCUUUUUCCCUUGAUGAGUUUUCCCUAUUGGUUUCUCAUAAAAGGUUUUUAAUGAGACAAUAUAAACACAAGUGUCUUUAUAUGCCAUAUCAUUUUCUCCUUGUAUUUUUCCCAUUGGGUUUUAAAGGAGUUUUCAAUGGCAUGUACGAUUGCACUCUUUUCCCUUAUGAGUUUUCUCUCAAAGUUUCUCAUAAUGGUUUUUAGUGAGGCAAUAUCUUCUCAAAGAUCAUAUGUCAUACUUUCUAUUUUCCCUACCAGGGUUUUUAAAGGAAGUAUUCAAGACAUAUUAAUUGUUCUCUAAACUUAUCAGUGAGUUUUCUCCUUCUUCAAAGGUUUUCUCAUAUGAGUUAUCAAGAGACAAUGAUCAUCAUAUGUUGCAUCAUUUUCUCCUUAUUUUUCCCACUGGGUUUGAAGGAGUUUUAGCAACAUAUCUACUCUAUUCUCCUCAUAUUUUUCCCACAGGGUUUUUGGGGGAGACUCUCAAGAUUAUCUGGAAGAUUUCUCACAAUGGAAGAUCUAUAUGCAAGAAGCUUUCAACGAUGAAACAUUCAAGGAGCGGUGUUGUACAAGGGGGAGUGUUAGAAAUUAAUUAUAGUAGAUUAAUUACCCAAGGGAUGUGUCCAACCCCCCGAACGGUUGUGUCUCCUCUCUCUCUCUAUUGCCAACAGACACCUGUUCUGGAGGGAUGCCUCCGAACAGGCACCUCUUCUUCGCACCUCUUCCAGAUGUAUAUAUACUUGAGAAUCAAUAGAAACAGGACGAAUUGUCCAUUCAUUUUCAUUCAAUCUUGUUUCAUUCUAACACGAUCGACCUCUCCUACCAGCCGUCCAUUGAUUCAGCUUGACACAUCUGCUCGCUCGCUCGCUCGCCGCGUUCUCCAGGCACCGCGACGCGUCCCGGCAGACGUACAACCAUACGUGCGUGCUUGCUCUGGUCCAUCCAGCGCGGCGUUGCUUCGCGACGAGUCACGCGGUGGACGUGGCCACGUGUCCUCAAUCGACGACACGGGCCGGCCGAAACGCCUGACCUGGCCGCGAGUUAUUACUCUCUUUAUCCCGAAAUACUUGUCUUAAAAAUGAAUAAAAUAGAUGUAUCUAUAAUUAAAAUAAAUCUAAAUACAUACAUUUUAAGACAAGUAUUUUCGGACGAAGGAAGUAUUUUUUUUAAAACACUUCGGUUUGUCCCAUGCCCCCAUAGCCUGACCUGGUCACGAGCUACCGAGGAAGAGGACGUGGAGCAGUGGGGCGUGCCGAAACACUCGGGGGCUAUCCCGCCACUGGAUACCGACGGGAGUUUCGAAUCGGAGACGCCCCGCACGCGUGCCGUGCGCAACCGUCGCGGCCUGGGGACCGGGCGGACCACGCGGCAAGUUGAUCCAUGUAGCUUGAGGACCGGGCGGACCCCGCGGCAAGUCGAUCCAUGUAGCCUGAGGACCGGGCGGACCCCGCGGCAGGCCGGAGCAGUACGUAUUGUGCGUAUGCCCGGCUCUGAGACCUCACAUGUCGAUUGCCGCGUGUAAGGGUGUGUUUGGUAGCUUGUAUGAAGGGUGCACGAGGUUAAAAGUUUUCUAUCAAACCUAUUUUUCAUUGUUUGGUAGACUACAUGAGCUCAAAUGAAUUAUGGCUCAACUGAUGCAAAAACACCUCUCAGCUAUGCUCAACCGAGCUCCCCCAUCGGGUCGAGCUCGGGUCAGCUAAGCUGGCUUCGACCCACCUCUCCCUCGAACGACCACCCCUCUCGAACCCAUCUCUCCCUCGCGGCUCAUUUUUUCUCUCGAACCCAGCCGAUGCAGGAGCCGUCGCUGCCCCCGCCCCGGGUCUACCCCGCCGCCGUCGUCGAUCUACCCCGCCCUGGGUCCUCCCCUGUCCCCGCCCAGGGUCUACCCCCCCGGGGUCUAUCCCGCCGCCUCCACCGAUCUCCCCCGCCCCUGCCACGCCCCGAAUCUACCCCGUCACCACCGCUGAUCUACCCCGCCCCGGGUUUACUCCGUCGUCGCCGCCGCAUCGGUCUCUGCCCCAUCUCCCUUUCCCCUCAUCCAUUCUUUCACCCCCCUUCUCCCUUCCCCCUUCCAUACUUCCUGCCUAGAUCUCUGGAGUAUUCCUCCAUUUGGAAAACAAAUGUUGUUGUUUGCCUGUCACACUAGAGAAAAACGUAUGUGAUAACUUUUAUUUGUUUUUGUUUUUUGAUGGAUGAAUUGGCAAGUAAAGAGAGAAAAUUCAUUGUGAGAGGAGCUUGGUCUAGCUCAAAUAAUGGUUGAUGCAUCCAUCCUCAAAUACACACUACCAAACACAGUCCGAGCAUAGCAUGUCUCAACACAUACAUCACUACCAAACAACCACACAUGCAUGCAUUCAACAUGUCUUGACUUAGCAUGUCUCAAAAGGAAACAACUAUGCUAGAAUGGGAACAACUACCAAACACACUCUGAAUUGUCGAGCCUGCCCCUGCCUGCCUGCCGCGAGCUACCAAGGGCCGCAUCUUCUAAUUCUCAGAUUCUGGGCCUUCUAAAACCAGAAUCUCAAACAAAAACAUCAGAUUUCUAUCUAGCUUAAGAAAAAUUCACUGGAGCUCCUCAUACUUGUCUUUUUUUUGAAGGAAAACUGUAAGGGAACCCCCCCACAGCGAGUUUUUUUUUUGAAAUAAUAAGAACCCAAAUUCGCGCCCGUGGGGACUUGAACUUGGGUGGCUGGGUUGUACAUCCACUCCACUAGCCAAGUGAGCUAGGCUCACUUCCUUCCUCUUGGUGGUCACUUUACUCAUCGUAGUUGCAAUAUCCAAAAUACAGUCCCCAUAGUUGUUAAGGGGGUUUACAUACGGUCCAAUAUACGAUUUUGUGUACGUUUGCGCUUUGUUGGCGUUUGACUGGCCUCGCCACAUGUGCUUUAACCGCCAAAUUAGCUAAGUAUCUCGUGACCGUUACACGUUGAUAAGCCAGGGUUUUUUCCACAAAAGUACCUACGCGUCCGUCGGAUGAUUUUUAAAAAUCAUCCGUCCCCCUAGCUAGCCGUCGGAUGCCGAUCUAACGCCCCGCAUCCCCGCCGCAUGGUCAGUAUUUAUUUCCUGAAACGACGCUCGAGUUGCGGAAACUUUCGCUUUCUUGCAAGAAAUAAACUUUGGAUCCGUUAAUUCCUGAAACAACGACCGAGUUUCAGAAACAAUUUGCUUGUUGUAGAUUUUUUUUUCUUCGUCUUUCUGUAACAUAGGUAUUUUUACGGAAGAAUUUUUUGCAACAACGGUCGAGUUUCAGGAAUUUUUGCAACGAAAGUCACGUUGCAGAAGCACUACCUAGCCGGGAUCCAUGCUCAACGGAGAGUCGGCACGCGGGCUGGCCUCGGGAUGCUGCAGGAACGAGCAGGGAAGCUCCCCGACGACGGGAUCCGACCACGGGAGGCGGCGGGGCGGGCGACAAGCUCUUGGCUUGCUCCGGUGGAAGUCGUCGUCGCCACGCAAGCUGAAGGAACAACGUCCUGAAAUAAUGGAAUUGUUUCAAAAAAAGAAAAAACGAUCACGGCUCGUUUGCCCGGCCACGUAGCAAACAAAGAAGACGGUGGACGCGAGAGCAGGAUCAGUCGGCUGGAAGGUAACGUUUCCCUGAAAGAAAUAUACCAUGUUCGGACCGCACCACUCACUCCUCUCCUCCCCCGUUUCUCCUCGGUCGCUCCUCCGCUGUUCGUAGUCGCUGCCGAGGUGGUGCCCUCGAGCUCGCAGGCGUGCCAGUUGCGGCGAUGACGACAUGAGCUCAUCGUCGGAUGCCGAGCCGUCGUCGUCCGCCCCCUUUGGCAGAGGCCUGUGCGACGUCCCUCUUGCCCCGACGCGCCAUUCGCCCGAUGAUGGCCUCCCUCUUUACGAUACGUCGCCGCCUUCCUUCCCUUCUAGGGUAGCUGAUGGAACGACUCCGCGAUGUAGUUUACUCACCCGCCGCCGCCACCCCCGCUAUUCUCGUGUGUCGUCUACGUUCACGUACCUUAGUGUCGAGCGACAGACGGCUCCGCUGCGGCUUCGGCCACUCCUCGUACAUGUCAGCUCGGCUUUGCUGCAGGCGGCGGAAGCCAAGUUGGGCAUGGCACGGGCGGAGCAUGACUCACCGAGGAGAUCGGCCAUAUCGAGCAGCAGGAGAAGGCCGACACGCAGGUGCGGUAGCUGGAGGUUGCGCUGCCGAUGCAAGUGCUGAUCGUGUGGGGAUUGACCCUCUUUGAUGUCAAAGGCAUGGAUAGAUGGAUGUGUGUGAUGUGUUACUGCCGCAAUGAUUUUGGUGGUAGUUCUUGUCACUGUAAAUUCAAUUGUGUGAUGUAAGAAUCGUAAACUUUCACCAUGUAAUUAGUCAAGUUCAAUUUUUUCCCCAUUGUCAUGGACGAAGAUUUCUUGAAGUUCUAAGUUUCAACCGAAAAUUGAUCUGAUGAUCCCCUAAAAAAAUAAUCCCAUGAUCAAGUUGUAUCUCCUUGGUUCUCUUUAUUUUGUUGUAUAUUUCUCCACAACUUUCUACCGUCAUUGUAAGUAAUAUGAAGUUAUGAUGCAAAGAGCUUCAAGUACCAGGAGCAGGCAAGUGCAACAAUACACAUCGCGGUUUCUACAAGAGCUUCAAAAUGCUGAUGGUAUUUGUCAUGAUUUUGUCUAUCUCUUUAUUCAACAAGCAAGCACGCAACAAUACACAUUGAAGAUUAUAUUCUUGGGUGUACAUUAAAUUCAUUUAUACAAUAGAUUAGCUCCCCAAUCCACAUCAACUAUCCUAUAUUAAAUUGAUUAGGAAAUUCUAAAGAAAAAUGUACAAAUCGUCAACCAUCCUAAACUACAUGACAGAGGCAUGCACAACAACAGAUUAAGUUGGAGAACUGCUCAUCGUUUUGCUGGUUCUUCUAUCUUCCUCUGCCUUAUCAUGAUCAUCUUCAGUGUUGAUAGAACAACAUGCUCUGUAGAUCAUCAAUUUUUUUAAGAUUGCACAUGUAUCAGCAGAUUGGUCACUAGCAAUAGUGCUAUUGCACAUUCUCACAUUCCAAGAUGCAGCCAGUAGCUCCAGUUCAAUGUGCUAAGUGUUGGGGAACGUCGCAUGGGAAACAAAAAUUUUCCUACGCGCACGAAGACCUGUCAUGGUGAUGUCCAUCUAUGAGAGGGGAUUUGGAUGUACGUACCAUUGUAGAUCGCACACCAGGAAGCGUUAAGAAACGCGGUUGAUGUAGUGGAACGUCCUCACGUCCCUCGAUCCGCCCCGCAACCGUUCCGCGAUCCGUCCCACGACCCGCUCCGAUCUAGUGCCGAACGGGUGGCAGCUCCGCGUCCAGCACACGUACAGCUCGACAAUGAUCUCGGCCUUCUUGAUCCAGCAAGAGAGACGGAGAGGUAGAUGAGUUCUGCGGCAGCGUGACGACGCUCCGGAGGUUGAUGGUGAUCUAUCUCAGUAGGGCUCUGUGCUACUUCUCAAACAACAGCGCCAGAAAUUGACACGUUGACGGAGAUUGGGCUUGCGUUGGUUUUUCCCUUGAAGAGGAAAGGGUGAUGCAGCACAGGAGCAGUAAGUACUUCCCUCAGUUUAAGAACCAAGAUAUCGAUCCAGAAGGAGGGUCUCGUCAAGUCCAGAGUAGCUGCGCCAACACAAACAAGCUUGCACCCAACGCUUCAAAGGGGUUGUCAAUCCCUUCAAGAUUGUUUGCAAAGUGAGAUCUGAAGGCGCAAAGUGCAACGAAGUAAAAAAUGUAAGGCUGAAAAUAUGGUGUGGAGUAGACCCUGGGGGGCAUAGUGUUCACUAGAGGCUUCUCUCAAAAUAGCAAGUAUUACGAUGGGUGAACAAAUUACUGUCGAGCAAUUGAUAGAACCGCGCAAAGUCAUGACGAUAUCUAAGGCAAUGAUCUAGCAUAUAGGCAUCACGUCCGAGACAAGUAGACCGAUACUUUCUGCAUCUACUACUAUUACUCCACACAUCGACCGCUAUCCAGCAUGCAUCUAGUGUAUUGAGUUCAUGACGAACAGAGUAACGCUUUAAGCAAGAUGACAUGAUGUAGAGGGAUAGUCUCAAACCAAUGAUGAAAACCCCAUCUUUUUACCCUUGAUGGCAACAACACGAUACGUGCCCCGCUACCCCUUCUGUCACUGGGUGAGGUCACCGCAUGGUAUGAACCCAAAACCAAGCACUUCUCCCAUGGCAAGAAUCAUAGAUCUAGUUGGCCAAACAAAACCCACAACUCGAAGAGAAUUACAAGGAUAUGAAAUCAUGCAUAAGAGAGAUCAGAAGAAACUCAAAUAAGAUUCAUAGAUAAUCUGAUCAUAAAUCCACAAUUCAUCGGAUCUCGACAAACACAGUACAAAAGAAGAUUACAUCGGAUAGAUCUCCAUGAAGAUCAUGGAGAACUUUGUAUUGAAGAUCCAAGAGAGAGAAGAAGCCAUCUAGUUACUAGCUAUGGACCCGUAGGUCUAUGGUGAACUACUCACGCAUCAUCGGAGAGGUCAUGGUGUUGAUGGAGAAGCCUUCCGUGUCCGAAUCCCCUCUCCGGCAGGGCACCAGGACGUGCCCCAGAUGGGAUCUUGCAGAGACAGAAGCUUGCGGCGGCGGAAAAGUGAUUGUGAUCGUCCUCUGAUUUUUUUGGGAAUAUUUAGAAAUUCAUAGGCGCAAGAUCUAGGUCAGGAGACCUCCAGGGGGCCCACAAGCCUGCAUGGCGCGCCCCCCUGGCCGCGGGGUGGGGGCUUGUGGGUCCCCUGGGGCUCUUCUGGCUUGGCUCCCAAGUCCCCCGAUCUUCUUCCGUUCCAGAAAAAUAUUUUCGGCGAUUUUCUUUCGUUUGGACUCCGUUUCAAAUCUCCUCUGAAAGGGUUCAAAAACAUGGAAAAAACAGGAACUGGCACUUGGCAGUGAAUUAAUAAGUUAGUCCCAUAAAAUAAAUAAAAGGCAUGCAAAACAUCCAAAGUUUGACAUGAUAAUAGCAUGAAACCAUAAAAAAUUAUAGAUACGUUGGAGACGUAUCAAGCAUCCCCAAGCUUAACUCCUGCUUGUCCUCGAGUAGGGAAGUGAAAAAGAAUGAAUUUUUGAUGUGGAAUGCUACCUAGCAUAGUUGUCCUUUGCAACUUCUUUCACGUGGCAUGAAUGUUCAGAUCCGUACGAUUCAAAACAAUAGUUUGCUAUUGACAUGAAAACAAUAAUACUUCAAGCAAACUAGCAAAGUAACCAUGAACUUUCAAAAUAACAAGGCCAAAGAAAGUUAUCACUACAAAAUCAUAUAGUCUGGCUAUGCUCCAUCAUCCUCACACAACUAAUGUAAAUCAUGCAGAACCCCGGAAUUGGCCAAGUAAUUGUUUUCGCACUCUUACUUUCUCAAACUUUUUAUAACUAUCACGCAAUACAUGAGCGCGAGCCAUGGAUAUAGCACUAUAGGUGGAAUAGAGUGUGGUGGUGGUUGUGAGACAAAAAAAGAGGAGAUGGUCACACUGACUCGGCGUAUCAAUAGGCUAUGGAGAUGCCCAUUAAUAGAUAUCACUGUGAAUGAGUAGGGAUUGCCAUACAAGAGAUGCACUAGAGCUAUAAGUAUGUGAAAGCUCAAGAGGAAAACUAGUGGGUGUGCAUCCAACUUGCUUGCUCACGAAGACCUAGGGCAAUUUUGAGGAAGCCUAUCAUUGGAAUAUACAAGCCAAGUUAUAAAACGAAGAUUCCCACUAGCAUAUGGUAGUGACAAAGCGAGAAGCUCUCAAUCGUGAAGAACAUGGUGCUAACAUGAAGCACAAGUGUGGAAAAAGAUAGUAGCAUUGUCCCUUCUCUCUUUUCUCUCAUUUCUUUUUUUAAUUAUUAUUUGGGCUCUUAGGCCUCUUUUUUUUGGGCUCUUUGGCCUCUUUUUUUCCUCACAUGGGACAAUGCUCUAAUAAUGAUGAUCAUCACACUUUUUUGUUACUCAAAGCUCAAAGAUCACAAUGAUGAUGACUCCAUAGGAAAUGCCUCCGGCAGUGUACCAGGAUGUGCAACGAUCUAGUAUGAUCAUGUAAUGGCAAUAUGAGAGUGACGACACAAGUCAUGAGACGGAACGGUGGGAGUUGCAUGGCAAUAUAUCUCGGAAUGGCUAUGAAAAUGCCAUAGUAGGUAGGUAUGGUGGCUGUUUUGAGGAAGGAAUUUGGUGGGUUUGUGCACCGACGAGAUUUGCGCGGCGCUAGAGAGGCUAGCAAUGGUGGAAGGUGAAAGUGCAUCUAUACCGUGGACUCAACAUUAGUCAUAAAGAACUCGCAUACUUGUCGCAAAAGUUUUUAUUAGUAAUCGAAACAAAGUGCUAAACGCAUAUUCCGAGGGGAAGGGUUGGUAGGUGUAAACCAUCGCGCGAUCCCGACCUCAACACAAAGGAUGACAAUCAAUAAAUCAAUUAUGCCCCGACUUCCUAACAUAGCGGUUCACCAUACGUGCAUGCUACGGGAAUCACUAACUCCAACACAAGUAUCUCUAGAUUCACAACACCCUACUAACAUAACUUUUAAUAUUACCGAAUCCACGUCUCAAAACUAAUUGAGAGGAAUCAAAACUUCUCUUUCUACUCAAUGCACAUGAAGAUGGAGGUUUUUUUGCAUCCUCUUUGGAUACCUAGCACAUGGGACUACUUUCAUAGCAUAAGCCAACUACCAAAUCAUGCACCACCAUGCUCUAAAGAUAUAAGUGAAGCACAAGAGCAAAAGUAUAUAGCUCAAAAGAUAUAAGUGAAGCACAAGAGCAAAAGUAUCUAGCUCAAAAGAUAUAAGUGAAGCACAAUGAGCAUUCUAGCAAAAUCACGAUGAGUGCAUGUCUCUCUCUCUCAAAAAGGUGUGCAUCAAGGAUGAUUGUGACACAACAAAAAGAAAAGACUCCUAAGAUACAAGAGGCUCCAAGCAAAACACAUAUCAUGUGGUGAAUAAAAAUAUAGCUCCAAGUAAUAUUACCGAUGGAUUGAAGACGAAAGAGGGGAUGCCUUCCCGGGGCAUCCCCAAGCUUAGGCUUUUUGGUGUCCUUGAAUUUGGCUUGGGGGGACUUGGGCACCCCCAAGCUUGAGCUCUUUCCACUCCUUAUCUCUUUGUCCAUGAGAACGUCACCCAAAACUUGAAAACUUCAUAACACAAAACUUAAACAGAAACUUGUGAUAACAUUAGUACAAGAAAACAAACUACCACUUCUUUUGGUACUGUAGAAAACUUGAAUUCCAUCUAUAUUGGUGUUGGGAUACUGUAUUCUCACUUUUCCAUAUCUAGUACCCCCCGAUACUAACCAUAGUUUUAUCAAAACAAGCAACCAACUCAACAAAAACAGAAUCUGUCAAAAACAGACCAAUCUGUAGCAAUCUGUAUACUUAGUAUACUUAUUUUACCUCAAAACAUCUGAAAAAUUACGAAGGUCUGGGGAAAAAGCAUAUAAAUCAGCAGCAAAAAGAAUCAACUCAAAAGCUCUUUCUGAAAAAAAAAUGAAAAAUCAUCUCGUGAGCGAAAAGUUUCUGUCUUUUUUCAGCAGGAUCAAACAACCAUUACCAAGACUAGUCAUAAAGGUUUUGCUUGGCUCAAACACAAAAAGAAACACAAAAAACACAAUCACAACAUAAUUGUGAAAGUGUGGACGCAACAAAACAGAAAGAAAAGAUAAAUUCAUUGGGUUGCCUCCCAACAAGCGCUAUUGUUUAACGCCCUUAGCUAGGCAUAGUAGCGAUAGAAUCACGUAUCGUCGUCUUUGGUGCUCAAACCAUAAGUAGCCCUCAUCAUGGAUUCAUAAGCAAAUCUUAUUUUAUUUCUAGGAAAGUGUUCCAUGCCCUUCCUUAAAGGAAAUUGAAAUCUAAUAUUCCCUUCCUUCAUAUCGAUGAUAGCACCCAUGGUCCUUAGGAAAGGUCUACCAAGAAUAAUAGGGCAUGUAGGAUUGCAAUCAAUGUCAAGCACAAUGAAAUCCACGGGUACAUAGUUCCUAUUUGCAAUAAUAAGAACAUCAUUUAUCCUUCCCAUGGGUUUCUUGAUAGUAGAAUCAGCAAGAUGCAAAUUAAGAGAACACUCUUCAAUCUCAUUAAAACCCAGAAUAUCACAUAAAGACUUUGGAAUCGCAGAAACACUAGCACCCAAAUCACACAAAGCAUUGCACUCAUUAUUUUUUAUUUUGAUUUUGAUGGUAUGUUCCCGCUCAUCAUGAAGCUUUCUAGGGAUAGAGACUUCCAAUUCAAGUUUCUCUUCAAGAGCUUUCAUCAUAGCUUCGACGAUAUGAUCGGUAAAGGCUUUGUUUUGGCUAUAAGCGUGUGGAGAGUUCAACAUGGAUUGCACCAAAGAAAUGCAUUCAAUCAAGGAGCAACUAUCAUAAUUGAAUUCCUUGAAAUUCAUGGUAGUAAUUUCAUUACUACUCAAAGUUUUAACGUCUUCUACUGCACUUUUAAUGCUUUUAGCACCAAGGUAGGUGGACUCCGAAUCAUUGGGGCACUUUUCAACCAAAGUGGAUUCAUAUCCAGCCCCAUAAUCAUUAGGUUUGACACAAGAAAACAAAGAUUCAAUGGGAGUCACACCAAGCACUUUAAGAUCUUGGUGAUUCUCAUCACGGGAACAUGCCUUUUUAAGCCAUUCAUGUCUAGCACGAAUUUGAGCGGUUCUUUCUUGGCUUUCAAUCAUGGAAACACGCAUAGCUUUUAAAGUUUCAUCCAUGUUGAUUUUGGGAGGAGCACAUCUAACUUUCAAAGCAUCAACAUCACAAGAAAUCCUAUCAACGCUCUUAGCCAAAUCGUCAAUUUUGAGUAGUUUUUCCUCUAUGGACGCAUUGAAAAUCUUUUGAGAGUUGAUGAACUCUUUGAUAUUACUCUCUAGAUCAGAGGGUAAUGUAUUGUAAUUUCCAUGAGUAUUGUUGUAGGAGUUGCCAAAGUUAUUAGAGGAAUUACUAGGAAAAGGCCUAGCGUUUUUGUUAUAGGAACAUAGUUUCCUCUAAAAGCGUUGUUGUUGCCAAAGUUAUUCGUACCAACAAAAUUAACGUCCAAGCUAGCGUUGCUACUCUCAAUCAAAGAAGACAAAGGAAAAUCAUUAGGAUCCAAAGGAGCACUUCUACUAGCAACCAAAUUCAUUAACUCAUUCAUCUUAGCACUCAACGAGUUAAUUUCUUCUAUAGCGUGUACCUUCUUACUAGUAGGUGAUCUUUCAGUGUGCCACUGAGAGUAGUUCGUCAUGAUGUUGUCUAAGAGCUUUGUGGCUUCUCCUAAUGUGAUUUCCAUGAACGUUCCACCUGAGGCGGAGUCCAAGAUAUUUCUAGAAGCGAAAUUCAAGCCAGCGUAAAAGAUUUGAAUAAUCAUCCAAAUACUCAAGCCAGGAGCGGGACAAUUUCUAAUCAUUAUUUUCAUUCUCUCCCAAGCUUGUGCAACAUGCUCAUGAUCAAGUUGCUUGAAAUUCAUGAUAUCAUUACGGAGAGAGAUGAUCUUAGCCGGCGGAAAAUACUUGGAUAUAUAAGCAUCUUUGCACUUAUCCCAAGAAUCGAUACUAUUUUUGGGCAAAGAAGAAAACCAAGUUUUUGCGCGAUCUCGCAACGAGAAAGGAAAAAGCUUCAAUUUAAUCACGUCAUUAUCCACAUCCUUUUUCUUUUGCAUAUCGCAAAGCUCAAUGAAGGUAUUGAGAUGGGAUGCAGCAUCUUAACUAGGAAGGCCAGAGAAUUGCUCUUUCAUAACAAGAUUCAGCAAAGCGGCAUUGAUUUUGUAUGACUCUGCACUAGUGGCGGGAGCAUCGGAGUACUAAUAAAAUCAUUAUUAUUAGUAUUCGAGAAGUCACAAAGCUUGGUGUUUUCGUUCAUGGUGACUUUAGCAAGCAAGCAAGCACACGAGCAAACAAAAAAGUGAGCGAGAAAAAGGGCGAACGAAAAGGCAAAUUGGUGAAGUGGGGGAGAGGAAAACGAGAGGCAACUGGCAAACAAAGUAAAUGCAAGAGAUGAGUUUGCGACACUUACUUGGAUGAGUUCUUGACUUGAUCUUCCUCCCCGGCAACGGCGCCAGAAAUCCUUCUGCUACUUCUCAAACAACAGCGCCAGAAAUUGAAACGUUGACGGAGAUUGGGCUUGCAUUGGUUUUUCCCUUGAAGAGGAAAGGGUGAUGCAGCACAGGAGCAGUAAGUAUUUCCCUCAGUUUGAGAACCAAGGUAUCGAUCCAGAAGGAGGGUCUCGUCAAGUCCAGAGUACCUGCGCAAAUACAAACAAGCUUGCACCCAACGCUUCAAAGGGGUUGUCAAUCCCUUCAAGAUUGUUUGCAAAAUGAGAUCCGAAGGCGGAAAGUGCAACGAAGUAAAAAGUGUAAGGCUGAAAAUAUGGUGUGGAGUAGACCCUGGGGCCAUAGUGUUCACUAGAGGCUUCUCUCAAAAUAACAAGUAUUACGGUGGGUGAAAAAAUUACUGUCGAGCAAUUUAUAGAACCGCACAAAGUCAUGAUGAUAUCUAAGGCAAUGAUCUAGCAUAUAGGCAUCACGUCCGAGACAAGUAGACCGAUACUUUCUGCAUCUACUACUAUUACUCCACACAUCGACCCCUAUCCAGCAUGCAUCUAGUGUAUUGAGUUCAUGACGAACAGAGUAACGCUUUAAGCAAGAUGACAUGAUGUAGAGGGAUAAUAUCAAACCAAUGAUGAAUACCCAUCUUUUUACCCUUGAUGGCAACAAGACGAUACGUGCCUCGCUACCCCUUCUGUCACUGGGUGAGGUCACCGCACGGUAUGACCCCAAAACCAAGCACUUCUCCCAUGGCAAGAAUCAUAGAUCUAGUUGGCCAAACAAAACCCACAACUCAAAGAGAAUUACAAGGAUAUGAAAUCAUGCAUAAGAGAGAUCAGAAGAAACUCAAAUAAGGUUCAUAGAUAAUCCGAUCAUAAAUCCACAAUUCAUCGGAUCUCGACAAACACACCGCAAAAUAAGAUUACAUCGGAUAGAUCUCCAUGAAGAUCAUGGAGAACUUUGUAUUGAGGAUCCAAGAGAGAGAAGAAGCCAUCUAGUUACUAGCUAUGGACCCGUAGGUCUAUGGUGAACUACUCACGCAUCAUCGGAGAGGUCAUGGUGUUGAUGGAGAAGCCUUCCGUGUCCGAAUCCCCCCUCCGGCAGGGCACCAGGACGUGCCCCAGAUGGGAUCUUGCGGAGACAGAAGCUUGCGGCAGCGGAAAAGUAAUUGCGAUCGUCCUCUGAUUUUUUUUGGGAAUAUUCGGGAAUUUAUAGGCGCAAGAUCUANNNNNNNNNNNNNNNNNNNNNNNNNNNNNNNNNNNNNNNNNNNNNNNNNNNNNNNNNNNNNNNNNNNNNNNNNNNNNNNNNNNNNNNNNNNNNNNNNNNNCUGAGUGCGGAAGCUGGCGAGCGGAGGCGAGGCAAGCGCAGCCUGGGGCGGCGCGGUGAACGGCUCCCGAUCUGGAUCCUGAUCCAGAUCGCGGGGAGGAGGCAGCGGCUGAUCUGGGAAAGACCGCCGGGUCAACGCGGGGGAGGGAAAACCGAGCGCUGCGGGAGCCACGUGUAUUUGAGAUAUAAUGCUUGAUCUCUCUUAUGCAUGAUUUCAUAUCCUUGUAAUUCUCUUCGAGUUGUGGGUUUUGUCUGGCCAACUAGAUCUAUGAUUCUUGCAAUGGAAGAAGUGCUUGGUUUUGGGUUCAUACCAUGUGGUGACCUCACCCAGUGACAGAAGGGGUAGCAAGGCAUGUAUCGUGUUGUUGCCAUCAAGGGUAAAAAGAUGGGGUUUUCAUCAUGGUUUGAGAUUAUCCCUCUACAUCAUGUCAUCUUGCUUAAGGCGUUAGUCUGUUAGUCAUGAACUCAAUACACUAGAUGCAUGCUGGAUAGCGGUCGAUGUGUGGAGUAAUAGUAGUACAUGCAGAAAGUAUCGGUCUACUUGUGUCGGACGUGAUGCCUAUAUGUAUGAUCAUUGCCUUAGAUAUCGUCAUGACUUUGCGCGGUUCUAUCAAUUGCUCGACAGUAAUUUGUUCACCCACCGUAAUACUUGCUAUUUUGAGAGAAGCCUCUAGUGAACACUGUGGCCCCCAGGUCUACUCCACACCAUAUUUUCAGCCUUACUCUUUUUCUUCGUUGCACUUUCCACCUUCAGAUCUCACUUUGCAAUCAAUCUUGAAGGGAUUGACAACCCCUUUAAAGCGUUGGGUGCAAGCUCUUUUGUGUUUGCGUAGGUACUCUGGACUUGAUGAGAUUCUCCUACUGGAUUGCUACCUUGGUUCUCAAACUGAGGGAAAUACUUAUUGCUCCUGUGCUGCAUCACCAUUUCCUCUUCAAGGGAAAACCAACGCAAGCUCAAGAGACGAUAGAAGGAUCUCUGGCACCAUUGCCAGGGAAGGAUUUUUGUUGCCGUAGCAGAAGGAUUUCUGGCGCCGUUGCGGGGGAGGAUCAAGUCAAAAACUCAUCCAAGUAAGUGUCGCAAACUCAUCUCUUGCAUUUACUUUGUUUGCGAGUUGCCUCUCGUUUUCCUCUCCCCCACUUCACAAAUUUGCCUUUUUCGUUUGCCUUUUCCGUUCACCCUUUUCUCUCGCUUGCUCUUUGCCCGCUUGUCUGCCUGCUAAAACCCGCAUGGCCCAACCAAGGGUUUUGAUGCUCACUAUGCGAAGUUAGAAGAGAUUGAAACUAGUGUUAAAGGCUUCAUGUCUACAUAGUUUGAAUACAACAGUUACUUUCGUAGAGAACUAAAGGAGCAAAAUUCUUUUCUGGCUUUUAUGAGUAGAGAAGUUGAUGAUAUGGCCAAAGAAUUCCUUGCGCUAAAUUCUCAGUUUGCUCGUCUUGAAAAGUUGGUAGGCCAGAUUUCUGAUAAGCAGGCUACCUUAGUCAAUAAAAUGGUUGCUAAACUUGAAACUCGUGAUGAGAAUCACGAAGAUCUUAAAGUACUUGGUGUGACUCCCAUUGAAUCUUUGUUUUCUUGUGUCAAACCCAAUGAUGAUGGGCAUGUAUAUGAAUCCACUUUGUUUGAAAACGCCCCAAUGAUUCGGAGUCCAUCUAUCUUGAUGCUAAAAGCAUUGAAAGUGGAGUAGAAGAUAUUAAAGCUUUGAGUAGUAAUAAAAUUACUACCAUGGAUUUCAAGGAAUUCAAUUAUGAUAGUUGUUCCUUGAUUGAAUGCAUUUCCUUGAUGCAAUCCAUGUUAAACUCUCCACACGCUUAUAGCCAAAACAAGGCCUUUACCGAUCAUAUCGUGGAAGCCAUGCUAAAAUCUCUUAAAGAGAAACUUGAAUUGGAAGUCUCUAUCCCUAGAAAGCUUCAUGAUGAGUGGGAACCUACCAUCAGAAUCAAAAUCAAAAACUAUGAAUGCAAUGCUUUGUGUGAUUUGGGUGCUAGUGUUUCCGCGAUUCCAAACUCUUUAUGUGAUGUUCUGGGUUUUAAUGAGAUUGAAGAGUGUUCUCUUAAUUCGCAUCUUGCAGAUUCUACUGUCAAGAAACCCAUGGGAAGGAUCAAUGAUGUUCUUAUUAUUGCAAAUAGGAACUAUGUACCCGUGGAUUUCAUUGUGCUUGAUGUUGAUUGCAAUCCUACAUGCCCUAUUAUUCUUGGUAGACCUUUCCUAAGGACUAUUGAUGCUACCAUCGAUAUGAAGGAAGGGAAUAUUAGAUUUCAAUUUCCUUUAAAGAAGGGCAUGGAGCACUUUCCUAGAAAGAAAAUAAGAUUGCCUUAUGAAUCCAUGAUUAGGGCCACUUCUGGUUUGAGCACCAAAGACGACGAUACGUGAUUCUAUCGCUUUUAUGCCUAGCUAAGGGCGUUAAACAAUAGCGCUUGUUGGGAGGCAACCCAAUGAAUUUAUCUUUUUCUUUCUAUUUUGUUGCGUCCACACCAUCAUAAUUCUGUUGUGAUUGUGUUUUUUGUGUUUCUUUUUGUGUUUGAGCCAAGUAAAACCUUUAUGACUAGUCUUGGUAAUGGUUGUUUGAUCCUGCUGGAAGAAGAUAGGAACUUUUCGCUCACGAGAUGAUUUUUCAUUUUUAUUAAGAAAGAGAUUUUGAGUUGAUUCUUUUUUCUGCUUGUUGAUAUGACUUUUGCCCAGCCAGUCGUAAUUGUUCAGAAUUUGUGAGGUACCUGAAGUAUACGAAGUAUACAGAUUACUACAGGCUGGAAUGUUUUUGACAGAUUCUGUUUUUGUUGAGUUGGUUGCUUGUUUUGAUGAAACUAUGGAUAGUAUCGGGGGGUACUAGCCAUGGAAAAGUGAGAAUACAGUAUCCCAACACCAAUAGUAAUAGAAUUCAAGAUUGCUACAGUACCUAAAGAGGUGGUAGUUUGUUUUCUUGUGCUAAUGUUAUCACGAGUUUCUGUUUAAGUUUUGUGUUGUGAAGUUUUCAUGUUUUGGGUGAUGUUCUCAUGGACAAAGAGAUAAGGAGUGGAAAGAGCUCAAGAUUGGGGAUGCCCAAGGCAUACCAAGCCAAAUUCAAGGACACCAAAAAUCCUAAGCUUGGGGAUGCCCCGGGAAGGCAUCCCCUCUUUCGUCUUUAAUCCAUCGGUAACAUUACUUGGAGCUAUAUUUUUAUUCACCACAUGAUAUGUGUUUUGCUUGGAGCGUCUUGUAUUGUAGGAGUCUUUUCUUUUUGUUGUGUCACAAUCAUCCUUGCUGCAUAGAGAGAGACAUGAACUCAUCAUGAUUUUGCUAGAAUGCUCAUAGUGCUUCACUUAUAUCUUUUGAGCUAGAUAACUUUGCUCUAUGUGCUUCACUUAUAUGUUUUAGAGCACGGCGGUGCAUGACUUGGUAGUUGGCUUAUGCUAUGAAAGUAGUUCCAAAGGUGAUAGGUACCCAAAGAGGAUACAAAAACCUCCAUCUUCAUGUGCAUUAAGUAGAAAGAGAAGUCUUGAUUCCUCUCAAUUAGUUUUGAGACGUGGAUUUGGUAACAUUAAGAGCUAUGUUAGUAGGGUGUUGUGAAUCUAGAAAUACUUGUGUUGAAGUUAGUGAUUCCCGUAGCAUGCACAUAUGGUGAACCGCUAUGUUAGGAAGUCGGAGCAUACUUCAUCUAUUGAGUGUCAUCCUUUGUGUUGAGGUCAGGAUCGCGCGAUGGUUAACACCUACCAACCCUUCCCCUAGGAGUAUGCGUUUAGCACUUUGUUUCGAUUACUAAUAAUAACUUUCGCAACAAGUAUGUGAGUUCUUCAUGACUAGUGUGAGUCCAUGGUAUAGAUGCACUUUCACCUUCCACCUUUGCUAGCCUCUCUAGUGCCGCGCAACUUUCGCCGGUACACAAACCCACCAUAUGCCUUCCUCAAAACUGCCACCAUACCUACCUACUAUGGCAUUUUCAUAGCCAUUCCGAGAUAUAUUGCCAUGCAACUCCCACCGUUCCGUCUCAUGACUUGUGUCGUCACUCUCAUAUUCCCAUUGCAUGAUCAUAAGAUAUCUAGCGAGAUGUUUCAAUGUCAUACACCAAGCUAGAUCAUUGCACAUCCCGCUACACUUCCGGAGGCAUUUCCUAUAGAGUCAUUUCUAAGCUUUGAGCUGUGAGUAAAUAAAAGUGUGAUGAUCAUCAUUAUUAGAGCAUUGUCCCAUGUGAGGAAAUAAAAAAAAGAGGCCAGAGUGCCCAAAUAAAAAAAGAUAAAAGAGAAAAAAGAGGCCCAAGAGCCCAAAUAAUAAUAAAAAAGAGAGAAAAAGAGAGAAGGGACAAUGCUACUAUCUUUUUCCACACUUGUGCUUCAUAAUAGCACCAUGUUCUUCAUGAUUGAGAGCUUCUUGCUUUGUCACUACCAUAUGCUAGUGGGAAUCUUCAUUAUAUAACUUGGCUUGUAUAUUCCAAUGAUGGGCUUCCUCAAAAUUGCCCUAGGUCUUCGUAAGCAAGCAAGUUGGAUGCACACCCACUAGUUCUCCUUUGAGCUUUCACAUACUUUUAGCUCUAGUGCAUCCCUUGUAUGGCAAUCCCUACUCAUUCACAUUGAUAUCUAUUAAUGAGCAUCUCCGUAGCCCUUUGAUACGCCGAGUCAAUGUGACCAUCUCCUCAUUUUUGUCUCAGAACCACCACCACACUCUGUUCCACCUAUAGUGCUAUAUCCAUGGCUCACGCUCAUGUAUUGCGUGAUAGUUAUAAAAAGUUUGAGAAAGUAAGAAUGCGAAAACAAUUACUUGGCUAAUACCGGGGUUUUGCAUGAUUUACAUUAUUUGUGUGAGGAUGUGGAGCAUAGACAUACUAUAUCAUUUUGUAGGGAUAACUUUCUUUGGCCUUGUUAUUUCGAAAGUUCAUGAUUACCUUGCUAGUUUGCUUGACGUAUUAUUGUUUUCAUGUCAAUAGCAAACUAUUGUUUUGAAUCUUACGGAUCUGAACAUUCAUGUCACAUGAAAGAAGUUGCAAAGGACAACUAUGCUAGGUAGCAUUCCACAUCAAAAAUUUAGUCUUUAUCACUUCCCUACUCGAGGACGAGCAAGAGUUAAGCUUGGGGAUGCUUGAUACGUCUCCAACGUAUCUAUAAUUUUUGAUGGUUUCAUGCUAUUAUCUUGUCAAACUUUGGAUGUUUUGCAUGACUUUUAUAUAUUUUUUGGAACUAACUUAUUAAUUCAGUGCCAAGUGCCAGUUCCUGUUUUUCCAUGUUUUUGACCCCUUUCACAAGAGGAUUUUGAGCGGAGUCCAAACGGAAUGAAACUGUCAGAAAGAUUUUUUUCCGUAACAGAAAAAGAUCGGAAAGCCGGAGAAUCAGGGCAGGGGGCCUGCAGGGACCCCACAAGCCCCCUAGUCGCGGCCAGGGGGCCCGUGCCUCCCUGGCUUGUCGGCUCCCUGGGCCUCCUCUGCCCUAGGUCUUUCGCCUAUAAAUUCCCUAAAAUCCCAGAAAAAAUCAGGAGAUCAUCGAAAGUAGUUUUCCGCCGCUGCAAGCUUCUGUCUCCGCAUGAUCCCAUAUGGGGCACGUUCUGGUGCCCUGCCGGAGGGGGCAUUCGGAUACGGAGGGCUUCUUCAUCAACAUCAUGACCUCUCCGAUGAUGCGUGAGUAGUUCACCAUAGACCUACGGGUCCAUAGCUAGUAACUAGAUGGCUUCUACAAAGUUCUCCAUGAAGGGUUGGUGAAGAUGCUUGGUUUUUGGUUNNNNNNNNNNNNNNNNNNNNNNNNNNNNNNNNNNNNNNNNNNNNNNNNNNNNNNNNNNNNNNNNNNNNNNNNNNNNNNNNNNNNNNNNNNNNNNNNNNNNUGAACAGGUACAUCAGUCUAUCAUGAUUGGUCCGUUUCGACAAACGUUUGCCAUGGUUUUUCACAUGCUUGCCUUCCUGUAAUCAUCUCUAGAACUAGCUUCUCUGCCGUGGUGCAGCGGCCGGCCGGGGAUGGCAAAGUUCCCAGGGUCUGCAUGGAUUCGACAUCCACAGGAGAUAAACACGAGAAGGUCCUUUCGGUUAUACUCCCUCCGUUCUUAAAUAUAAGUCUUUUAAGCGAUUUCACUAGGUGUCUACAUACGGAGCAAAAUGAUUGAAUGUACAAUCUAAAGUAUGUCUAUAUACAUCCGUAUGUGGUCCACUAAUGAAAUCUCUACAAAGAAUUAUAUUUAGGAGGGGGUAGUAAUAUUUUCUUUUGACGGGUCAGCGAACGCAGCUUCGGUUUUUUAGUAUAGCCCGCGGCGGCAGGCAGGCAGGCAGGCAGGGGCAGGCUCGGCAAUUCGGGCGCGGCAGUCGACAGGCGAGGCCCCAAAGCCGGGCGUACGCACACGCACAGUACGUCCUGCUCCGGCCUCCACAUGGCUACAUCGAUCGACUUGAUGAGUGCGCCGCGGGGUCCGCCCGGUCCCCAGGCCGCGUCGCUUGCGCAUGGCGCGCGCGCGCGAUUCGAAACUCGGGAGAGCCCCGGGCGUUUCGGCACGCCCCGCUGCCCCUCGUCCUCUUCCUCGGUAGCUGGCGACCAGGUCAGGUCAGGCGAUGGGGCAAACCCAAGUGUUUUAAAAUAAUAAUUAUCCCCGUCCGCGUUCGCUGGCAGGCCGGCGCGUGUCGUCGAUUGAGCACACGUGGACCGUCCGCCGCGUGACUCGUCGCGAAGCAACGUCGCGCUGGAGCGACCAGAGCACGCACGCACGGACGUAUGGUUGCGGUUGGUACGUCUGCCCGGACGCGUCGCGGCGCCUGGAGAACGCGGUGAGCGAGCGAUCGAGCGAGCAGAUGUGUCAAGCUGUAUCAAUGGACGGACGGCUGGUAGGAGAUGUCGAUCGAUCGAUCGAUCGAUUGAUGGUGAAGCAUCAACGGCUCGAACUAUUACCGUCGUUAAACUCAUGUGGCCGUGCGUCGGCACGCGCGUCGCCGUUACUAGUACUACUUCACAAGAAUCACGACCCCGGAGGAUACGGCCGGUUGCAACCACCGGCCUGGCGGCAUCGUCGCCGUUGGUGUCUCCGUUGCCGUGAUCUGCAUGCCGCUGUUGCUUCCGGGCCGGCUGCCUCAAGUCAACGCCUCUGUGAUGAACCCGUGGAUCCAUCGUAUCGUACACACUCCAGCUCUCGUUGUCCCCUUUUUUUUUCCCUGCUUGAACUUGAAUGAAAAACAUCUCGAAGUCUUUGCGAUAUCAAGGCCCGCGACUGCGAAGGUGCCACGGUUCUCAAGGCCCACGUACGUUGCUGCGCCCAGAUGGAAAUCGAACAAACACGGGCCCAGUUGCGUGCUCCCGUCCCGCAGCGCACGCGCACGGGGCUUCGGUUUUUAGUCCCACCUCGCCCAGCCGAGGGCGUGGAGCGGGAGAGCUCGCUAUAAAAAGGAGAGGCGGGUGCGACCGUGUUCCAUACUUACCUGGACGGGGUCGACGGGCGAUCAAGAAGGCCCGUGGCCUAGGUUAGUGGCCCACAUUGCACUUGGUGGGCGCGCUGGC